rnacentral:rRNA from 1 species
GAUGAACGCUGGCGGCGUGCCUAAUACAUGCAAGUCGAGCGAACAGACGAGGAGCUUGCUCCCCUGACGUUAGCGGCGGACGGGUGAGUAACACGUGGAUAACCUACCUAUAAGACUGGGAUAACUUCGGGAAACCGGAGCUAAUACCGGAUAAUAUAUUGAACCGCAUGGUUCAAUAGUGAAAGACGGUUUUGCUGUCACUUAUAGAUGGAUCCGCGCCGCAUUAGCUAGUUGGUAAGGUAACGGCUUACCAAGGCGACGAUGCGUAGCCGACCUGAGAGGGUGAUCGGCCACACUGGAACUGAGACACGGUCCAGACUCCUACGGGGGGCAGCAGUAGGGAAUCUUCCGCAAUGGGCGAAAGCCUGACGGAGCAACGCCGCGUGAGUGAUGAAGGUCUUCGGAUCGUAAAACUCUGUUAUUAGGGAAGAACAAAUGUGUAAGUAACUAUGCACGUCUUGACGGUACCUAAUCAGAAAGCCACGGCUAACUACGUG